rnacentral:rRNA from 1 species
GAUGAACGCUGGCGGCGUGCCUAAUACAUGCAAGUCGAGCGAACAGACGAGGAGCUUGCUCCUCUGACGUUAGCGGCGGACGGGUGAGUAACACGUGGAUAACCUACCUAUAAGACUGGGAUAACUUCGGGAAACCGGAGCUAAUACCGGAUAAUAUAUUGAACCGCAUGGUUCAAUAGUGAAAGACGGUUUUGCUGUCACUUAUAGAUGGAUCCGCGCCGCAUUAGCUAGUUGGUAAGGUAACGGCUUACCAAGGCAACGAUGCGUAGCCGACCUGAGAGGGUGAUCGGCCACACUGGAACUGAGACACGGUCCAGACUCCUACGGGAGGCAGCAGUAGGGAAUCUUCCGCAAAGGGCGAAAGCCUGACGGAGCAACGCCGCGUGAGUGAUGAAGGACUUCGGAUCGUAAAACUCUGUUAUUAGGGAAGAACAAAUGUGUAAGUAACUAUGCACGUCUUGACGGUACCUAAUCAGAAAGCCACGGCUAACUACGUG